GAUGAAGAACGCAGUGAAACGCGAUAUGUAAUGUGAAUUGCAGAAUUCAGUGAAUCAUCGAAUCUUUGAACGCACAUGGCGCCUUCCAGUAUCCUGGGAGGCAUGCCUGUCCGAGCGUCAUUUGCAACCCUCAAGCCCGGCUUGUGUGAUGGGUGCCGUCCCCUACGGGACGCGCCCCGAAGGCAAUGGCGGCGUCGCGGUUAUCCGAUCAGCCAAAGUGUAUGGGGCUUUGUCACUCACUUUACGGCCCGGACCGGCGCCAGUCCGAAUCAAUCUUUUUUCUAAAGUUGACCUCGGAUCAGGUAGGGAUACCCGCUGAACUUAAGCAUAUCAAUAAGCGGAGGA
rnacentral:misc_RNA from 1 species